CCCUUAGAUGUUCUGGGCCGCACGCGCGCUACACUGACGAUGGCAACGAGUUUUUCCUUCGCCGAAAGGUGUGGGUAAUCUUUUGAUACAUCGUCGUGCUGGGGAUAGAUCAUUGCAAUUUUUGAUCUUGAACGAGGAAUUCCUAGUAAGCGCGAGUCAUCAGCUCGCGUUGAUUACGUCCCUGCCCUUUGUACACACCGCCCGUCGCUACUACCGAUUGAAUGGUUUAGUGAGGACUCCUGAUUGGCGCCGCCGCCCCGGCAACGGAGCAGCGGACUGCCGAAAAGUUGUUCAAACUUGAUCAUUUAGAGGAAGUAAAAGUCGUAACA
rnacentral:rRNA from 1 species